AUGUCGGCGACAGUCCUCCGGAGCCAGGGCGGCUGCAGCGCGCCAGCGGCCCGACCCGCGGUGCGAGGCGCAGCCCGGCGGGGUCCGGCCCCGCGGGGCCCCGCGCGCUCUGCACCUGCCGGAGUCGCCGCCUGCGGCGGGCGUCUGCCCUUGCCAGAGGGGCGGGAGCCCAAGUCCUCAGGUGGCAGGCGGCGGGCGAGCACCCCGGGGCGCCGCUCCGUCCGCUCCAGAGGGCCCCGAAGGCUCGCGCCGCGCUCGGCCGCCCACUCCCGACGGCCGGAGCCCGAGCGCCGCGCUCGGUCCGCGCCGCCCGGGUGCCCCCCAAACUUGAAGCAGGCCUCCUGUGCUGGCGCAGGGGGGCGCAGGGGGGCGCAGGCGGGCGCAGGGGGGCGCAGAUCCCCCGCUGCACGCGCUGCCUUAGGACCAAGCUCCCUGCCCGAGCGUCCCCCAAACUGCUCCCUAGCGGCUCCGCAGCGGGAAGCCCAGGUCGCUCCCUCGGAAGGACCCGGGCCGCGGGCUUCGCGGGGGCAGGGCGCGCCCCGGGGCCCCCUCCUCAGCCUCCGCCGAGCCCCCGCGGGCGGACGCGGCGGACCUCGGGGGAGCGACGGCCAGGCGGGGCGCAGCGGGCCCUUCCGGCUGCGGCGGGGACACGCAAGUUUGCCCGCAAAGCCGGCGCGGGGAGGCAGCGAGGACGCCCGCUCCGCACCCCAGCCCGGCCAAGGGCGCGCGGCUCGCCGAGGCCGCCCGGGGGCCCGAGCGGGGAGCGGCGCCUGCGGGGUCCCGGAGCGGUUCCGCUGCGCGCGCCGGCCGGCUCGCCCUGGCACCGGCUGCGGCCCCGGCCACCCCUCCGCGCCCCAGCCCGCCCCCCGAGUCCUGGCCGGGGCCGGGGAGCCCGGGCGCGCCCGAGUCCCGCGGUCCCGAGCCCGCCGCCCGCCAGGCGGGCAAACUUGGCUCUCCCGGCGAGCGCCCGCGCGGGUCCUGCGGGGAGGGGCGGCGCGGGGGGCGCGGGGGGCGCGGGGGGCGCGGGCGGCGCGGGCGCCCGGACCCCAGCGGCGCGCGGCGGGACCGGCUGGCGGCGGCGGCGGCGGCGGCUCGGCACCCUCCCCGCGCCCGCGUACCUGA
rnacentral:lncRNA from 1 species